GGGUUAGUAGGUUGGUCAUGCCCCUGGUAUGUACUGGUCUCACUGAUUCCUCCUUCCUUAUGAACCGUAAUGCCAUUAAUUUGGUGUUGCGGGGAAUUUGGACUGUUACUUUGAAAAAAUUAGAGUGUUUAAAGCAGGCUAACGCUUGAAUACAUUAGCAUGGAAUAAUGAAAUAGGACGUUCGAUCCUAUUUUGUUGGUUUCUAGGAUUGACGUA
rnacentral:rRNA from 1 species